CAAUGUUGUAUUUCAUAACAUAAAUGAGGCCACUGUACUUUUGGAGUAGUCUGUAGAGCAGGAAUAUUAGAUGUAUCUCCUCCAGUGUACACAGUCAACUGAUAAAGUUUGUCCUAUGUAAUAGAUACUCUAGGAAUCUACUGCAAACUCUUGAGUUAAUUGAUGGAGAAAGGAAGAUGGAAACUUCAGUGGAAGAAUUACAUUCAGAUUAUCUGCUGACAGUUUUCAAG
rnacentral:lncRNA from 1 species